GUGGGAGAGAGCUCUUGUGUGAAGCAAAUCAAGAAGGAGAUGGAAGGAGGUGAAAUUGCAUGAAAGAUCCUUCAUUUUAAGAAGGCUUAUAAUCUUAUAAGCAUCAAGAUAAGCAUUAUGUCAAAGUGACGCAAGCACGAAAGGCUAACGGGUCAAGAGGACACAAGGAAGCGAACGCAAAUACGGACAUGUAAGGUAAGUGAGCCUGGACUAAACUCUCAUUUAUGUAAACUCAAGGUCAGUAGUCGGGCCCAUAUUCCACUAGUUAGCACAAUGAUUUCAUUAUAGAAGAUUUUCUCAAAUUUUAGUGAUUUACAAAUCUUUCGGUUUUAAGUGUAUCAUGUGUAAUUUACUAAUUGUCCUAAUUUACGUGUUAAUUAAUGUGUUUAAAUUUAAUAUUUAUUAGACAUUUUGUGAUUUCAUGAAUUUUGCAGUACAUGCGAAAUUUAGACUAAAUUCCUUAUAAAAGGGACCAUUAUUUAAUGUUUUUGUUCAUUUGUAACAUACCCUUAAUCUCCAAUGAAGAUGCUAACUACUUUACUAUUUCAUUGAUUUGAAAGAAGUAUUCUUCACAAUAAUUAUCAUAAUUAAUAAAUUCAUUGAGACAUUAUUGUGCUACCUCACAUUUCCCAUUGCAAAUGGUUUUUCAGAGAUAGACUACAACUACAAGUAUGGUGUUUUAAUGCUUUGAUGGUUCUUAUAAUUUGUUUGAUAAGGUAUAUACAGGCUCCCCCCUCCCCUUCUUGAAUGCAUUAUCCGUUGCUAACUACUUUACUAUUUCAUUGAAGAUACCCUUAAUCUCCAAUGAAGAUGCUAACUACUUUACUAUUUCAUUGAUUUGAAAGAAGUAUUCUUCACAAUAAUUAUCAUAAUUAAUAAAUUCUUUGAGACAUUAUUGUGCUACCUCACAUUUCCCAUUGCAAAUGGUUUUUCAGAGAUAGACUACAACUACAAGUAUGGUGUUUUAAUGCUUUGAUGGUUCUUAUAAUUUGUUUGAUAAGGUGAUUCUCUGGCUGGCGAUUUCAUACAUCUUUGAUUGUCUCAAACACAAAACUCUCAUCCAGAUCUUGAAGGUCCAUCCUAUUCCUAUGAUAAAUGGACGCUGGAUAUAUACAUAGAUGCAAAAUUUAAAGAGAGAGAAAGGGUUCAACAAAUUAGAGAUCAGUGUAGAAAGAUACCGAUGAGUUUCCGGCGGACCACCGACGGCCUAUCCGAUGAAAGGGAAGGUAAGGUCGCACCUCCUAUUGUCUCAGAUUGCUCUUGAAAUUGAUAAACCUUAAAUCGAUACCCAUGUCAUAGAAGUUGAGCCCUAAAUCUACAGUUAUUUCCUUUAAUUAUGUCUCGGAGACCAUUUUCUAAUUUGUGCUUUUAUAAAGACGUAAUGCGAAUGCUAUUUUCCUUCGUCGCUUCAGUUUCAUUCGUAUAGACGUAGUAAUUCAGGAAUAUCCAUUCCUCAAUGAAUGAAUAAAGUAUGGAAACGUUGCCUGGGCAGUUUUUCAUUGGGGGAAUUUUAUCAGCAGUUAGACUAGGGUUCAUAAUCAGGCUGGGUUGGAAGCAUAGGUGGCAAGAUAGAAGUGUUUGCUUGUGGAUAUUAGAGGGAAAAUUGAAGGGUUAGAUGGUACUUUUAUUAACUAGAAGCAACUUCCAGCUAAGAAUAACAUAGGUAACCCUAAUUUGACAUGUGGGAAUGUGAAUCCAUGUAAUUUGUAGUGUGGGGAUCAAGUUUACUGCCUUCUUCUCGAAGUAGAUGGAAGAUAUGUAGAAAAUGCAUCAAUACAUGAUCCAGUUAUCAAUGACUAUGAGUUUGAGAAUUUGCAAUGUUUCAAGUUUGGGGAACCAAAAUUCCUUGCUCAACGAGUUUCCAGGUUACAACUGAUGAUGGUUUAAUUGUAGCUAAUUAAUCUGGUGGACAACCAAAAAGAAAAGCCAAGCAUCUGUGAUAUCCCGGAGGACGUCAAAAGGUUGACGGUGUAUGGUGAUCAAACAAGGGUUCCACAAGUUUUGACCAACUCUUUACCGAAUUUAGUGAUCACUACAACCAUGAGUUGAAGGAAGUUCGAAAGGCUUAUGAUAUGUUAAAGGAGAAGGAAGAUGUUGAAGGUGAGUUAAAGUUGGAAGAUGAGAAAAAUGACGGGAUGAAUAAUUGUGCGCUGUUUGUUAGAUAUGUUGUUCAAGGGCUUAUUCCAUGUCACGGGUCACUAGAAGUGAUACAAUUUUUUUGAAGUAGCGAUAUAGAGAAGAGUUUCCACGGAGCUCUAAAGACAGAGUUGGGUUAUUAUAUGACGCUAUACAGUCAAUAGUGUGCUAUAGCGGUGUCAAUACUUACAAGGCAGAUUGAGUUGACUUCUGGAAGUCAGCGGGUCGGCAAGAGGAAUCAAGAUUCAAUCUGUGCUACGGACGAAGGUAAGGCAUUCUUAUCAGUUUCCUCAUACGGAGCUAUGUAAUGAAUUUAUCAUUAGUGAUGCUAAGAACUAAGUUAUACGUGUAUGUUCCUUUCACAUAUAUAAUGUUUUUAUGUGACGUCUUGGUAUUGGUCGUAUCAAGUGGUUUCGAGUAAUGGGUCAAAACGGUUAAACCAAAGAGAAUAAUUAUUUGUCUUAAAAUAUCCAGGUUUGACCUGGCGUAUUAUACGCCGGGCAGAGGAGUAUUUGUACGCUAAUGUCAUCUAUAUACGUUGGAAAGAUGCACUAAAAAAGUACCAGGGUGGAGUAUAAUUUUUUUUGAACGACUAACAUGUCGUAUGUGAGACUUGAACCCAAGAUCUCCUCCUCCCAAAAAAAGAUACGCCAAAAAAGCACCAGGGUGGCGUAUUAAACGUCGGUAUGUUUUGGUUUGCCUGAUUGUAGUCAGGUGUUUAUAGUAGCUGUUUAACAUUUGUUUUGAUGUAGUUAGGCCAUGGUGGUUCUCAAGACCCAGAAUGAACAUGAACAUGAAACCGAGUUACACAAGUAUUUUCUUUUUGCGAUUCUAAAAUGAUUUGUUUUUGGACCUCAGACCUCAUGUUGCAUUCACCAGUUUUUUCCAUUUUUUUACACAUUUAUCCCUUUCUACAUACCGCGGAUGCUAUUUGUAAUGUUUUGAAGUAAAAGAUUACAAAAAUAUGUUACGACAAUAUGUAUCCAAAAAGUUUGUAUUUAAAAAGAAGGGUGACAAAGAAGUGAACCAUUUUCUUAUACAGUGGGUUGGUUUUGUGUGUGUGUUUUUGUCUAUACAGUGGCCCACCAAAUGAUCCUAAGUUAAUUCAUACAUGCAUCAAGGAAAAACUCGAUAACAUAAUUACUUUCGAUGACAAGUCGAGGCUAGAAAGAGGUGGAAUGGCGGCUAAAAUGUUGUUUACGCUUCACAGGCUGGCAUUCCCAUUGUUAUAACUAGGUAUGCAUAUGAUCCUGCUUAUUAUGUUAUAUGUACGAUCAUAUUGAUUUUAUUAAGUUGUUUAUUAAAAUGUUUGGAAGUGGUUUCAUUGGGGACAAUAUUGUAGAAUUUCAUUGAGGACAAUAUUGAAGUUUAAAGAGAUCACAGGUUAAAUACUUUUAAUGCGUAAAAGUGGACGAUCAAGUAUCCGGUAGGGAUAUUUAUAAUAUAAUUUUUGUUUCUUAACGAGGAUAAAAAGGUCAACGGGCUCAAGAUAAUUUAAGGCCGAGACACGAAGACAAGGCGCAAUUUAAUUGAAAAAGGGUUGCUCGGUUUGCUUUUCAAUCACUCACUACGAACGCUUUCAAACAAAUAAUAAAAAGUUCGAUCAAGGAUGGCUCAUGGAUUGCUAAUGGCUUGUGUGUUAAUUCACUCAUAUUUGUCAAUUGUGUACAAAUUUAGAUUGUUUAGAAUUUUAGGAGGAUGGUUGAUUUUUUUUACUAUAUUCACCGAAACUUUACAAUAUUCUAACGGGUUGUGAAAAGCAAAAAAGCUAUUCUAUUGGCA